GAACAUUAGCGGGAGAGAACUAACUAGGAUUCCCUCAGUAGCUGCGAGCGAACAGGGAAGAGCCCAGCACCGAAUCCCGCGGCCGAUAUCGGACGCCGGGAAAUGUGGUGUUAGGGAGGAUCCGUUUAUCCCGAGGUCGUGCGGUGCGUCCAAGUCCUUCUUGAACGGGGCCACAGCCCAUAGAGGGUGCCAGGCCCGUAGCGACCGCUGCCGAUCGCGGGAGGAUCUCUCCUCAGAGUCGGGUUGCUUGAGAGUGCAGCCCUAAGCGGGUGGUAAACUCCAUCUAAGGCUAAAUAUGACCACGAGACCGAUAGCGAACAAGUACCGUGAGGGAAAGUUGAAAAGCACUUUGAAGAGAGAGUUCAAGAGUACGUGAAACCGUUCAGGGGUAAACCUGAGAAGCCCGAAAGGUCGAAUGGGGAAAUUCAUUCGCGUCUCGGCCGCCGGCGUGGUACGGUCGAGUGACGGACGGCGUACGCGUCGUCCGCGCCUUCCGUUCUUCGAACCGGCGUCGAACGCGUGCACUUUUCCCCUAGUAGGACGUCGCGAUCCGUCGGGUGUCGGUCUACGGCUCGCGGUGGAGCCCGUGCGGACGCUUCGCGGCGUAUCGUACGGACCCGCGGUGUCCCGACCGACCCGCUCGACGGUAUACAGAUGGCGCGGGGCCGCUACAACUUUCAGUUAGCGUUCGGCCCGCGGCAAGCGCGUUCGUCGUUCGACGGCGAUCGGACCCGGUGCCGGUCCCGUCCGCGGACGACUGUUGGCCGCGGUGUUCUCGAACAGACCUCGAAUCGAAACGCCGAUCUGCGACGCUAUAGCUUUGGGUACUUUCAGGACCCGUCUUGAACGCC
rnacentral:rRNA from 1 species